rnacentral:rRNA from 1 species
CCUACGGGAGGCUGCAGUGGGGGAUAUUGCACAAUGGGGGAAACCCUGAUGCAGCGACGCCGCGUGGGUGAAGAAGCGCCUCGGCGCGUAAAGCCCUGUCAGCAGGGAAGAAAAUGACGGUACCUGAAGAAGAAGCUCCGGCUAACUACGUGCCAGCAGCCGCGGUAAUACGUAGGGGGCGAGCGUGAUCCGGAUUUACUGGGUGUAAAGGGGGCCCAGACGGCGAUGCAAGCCAGGAGUGAAAGCCCGGGGCCCAACCCCGGGACGGCUCCUGGGACUGCAAGACUAGAGUGCGGGAGGGGCAGGCGGAAUUCCUGGUGUAGCAGUGAAAUGCGUAGAUAUCAGGAGGAACACCGGUGGCGAAGGCGGCCUGCUGGACUGCAACUGACGUUGAGGCCCGAAAGCGUGGGGAGCAAACAGGAUUAGAUACCCUAGUAGUC